rnacentral:rRNA from 1 species
GGGUUGUGAGGUUAAGCGACUAAGCGUACACGGUGGAUGCCCCGCAGUCAGAGGCGAUGAAGGACGUGCUAAUCUGCGAAAAGCGUCGGUAAGGUGAUAUGAACCGUUAUAACCGGCGAUGUCCGAAUGGGGAAACCCAGUGCAAUUCGUUGCACUAUCGUUAACUGAAUACAUAGGUUAACGAGGCGAACCGGGGGAACUGAAACAUCUAAGUACCCCGAGGAAAAGAAAUCAACCGAGAUUCCCCAGUAGCGGCGAGCGAACGGGGAGCAGCCCAGAGUCUGAAUCAGCUUGUGUGUUAGUGGAACGGUCUGGAAAGUCCGACGGUACAGGGUGAUAGUCCCGUACACCAAAAUGCACAGGUUGUGAACUCGAAGAGUAGGGCGGGACACGUGGUAUCCUGUCUGAAUAUGGGGGGACCAUCCUCCAAGGCUAAAUACUCCUGACUGACCGAUAGUGAACCAGUACCGUGAGGGAAAGGCGAAAAGAACCCCGGCGAGGGAGUGAAAAGAACCUGAAACCGUGUACGUACAAGCAGUGGGAGCACCUUCGGGUGUGACUGCGUACCUUUGUAUAAUGGGUCAGCGACUUAUAUUCUGUAGCAAGGUUAACCGUAUAGGGAGCCGCAGGAAACCGAGUCUUAACUGGGCGUUAAGUUGCAGGGUAUAGACCCGAAACCCGGUGAUCUAGCCAUGGGCAGGUUGAAGGUUGGGUAACACUAACUGGAGGACCGAACCGACUAAUGUUGAAAAAUUAGCGGAUGACUUGUGGCUGGGGUGAAAGGCCAAUCAAACCGGGAGAUAGCUGGUUCUCCCGAAAGCUAUUUAGGUAGCGCCUCGUGAAUUCAUCUUCGGGGUAGAGCACUGUUUCGGCUAGGGGUCAUCCCGACUUACCAACCCGAUGCAAACUACGAAUACCGAAGAAUGUUAUCACGGGAGACACACGGCGGGUGCUAACGUCCGUCGUGAAGAGGGAAACAACCCAGACCGCCAGCUAAGGUCCCAAAGUCAUGGUUAAGUGGGAAACGAUGUGGGAAGGCACAGACAGCCGGAUGUUGGCUUAGAAGCAGCCAUCAUUUAAAGAAAGCGUAAUAGCUCACUGGUCGAGUCGGCCUGCGCGGAAGAUGUAACGGGCUAAACCAUGCACCGAAGCUGCGGCAGCGACACUAUGUGUUGUUGGGUAGGGGCGUUCUGUAAGCCUGCGAAGGUGUGCUGUGAGGCAUGCUGGAGGUAUCAGAAGUGCGAAUGCUGACAUAAGUAACGAUAAAGCGGGUGAAAAGCCCGCUCGCCGGAAGACCAAGGGUUCCUGUCCAACGUUAAUCGGGGCAGGGUGAGUCGACCCCUAAGGCGAGGCCGAAAGGCGUAGUCGAUGGGAAACAGGUUAAUAUUCCUGUACUUGGUGUUACUGCGAAGGGGGGACGGAGAAGGCUAUGUUAGCCGGGCGACGGUUGUCCCGGUUUAAGCAUGUAGGCUGAUUAUCCAGGCAAAUCCGGAUAAUCAAGGCUGAGGUGUGAUGACGAGGCACUACGGUGCUGAAGUAACAAAUGCCCUGCUUCCGUGAAAGCCUCUAAGCAUCAGGUAACAUCAAAUCGUACCCCAAACCGACACAGGUGGUCAGGUAGAGAAUACCAAGGCGCUUGAGAGAACUCGGGUGAAGGAACUAGGCAAAAUGGUGCCGUAACUUCGGGAGAAGGCACGCUGGUGUGUAGGUGAAGCCCCUGCGGGUGGAGCUGAGACCAGUCGAAGAUACCAGCUGGCUGCAACUGUUUAUUAAAAACACAGCACUGUGCAAACACGAAAGUGGACGUAUACGGUGUGACGCCUGCCCGGUGCCGGAAGGUUAAUUGAUGGGGUUAUCCGUAAGGAGAAGCUCUUGAUCGAAGCCCCGGUAAACGGCGGCCGUAACUAUAACGGUCCUAAGGUAGCGAAAUUCCUUGUCGGGUAAGUUCCGACCUGCACGAAUGGCGUAAUGAUGGCCAGGCUGUCUCCACCCGAGACUCAGUGAAAUUGAACUCGCUGUGAAGAUGCAGUGUACCCGCGGCAAGACGGAAAGACCCCGUGAACCUUUACUAUAGCUUGACACUGAACAUUGAGCCUUGAUGUGUAGGAUAGGUGGGAGGCUUUGAAGCGUGGACGCCAGUCUGCGUGGAGCCAACCUUGAAAUACCACCCUUUAAUGUUUGAUGUUCUAACGUUGGCCCUUACCGGGGUUGCGGACAGUGUCUGGUGGGUAGUUUGACUGGGGCGGUCUCCUCCCAAAGCGUAACGGAGGAGCACGAAGGUUAGCUAAUCUGGUCGGACAUCAGGAGGUUAGUGCAAUGGCAUAAGCUAGCUUGACUGCGAGCGUGACGGCGCGAGCAGGUGCGAAAGCAGGUCAUAGUGAUCCGGUGGUUCUGAAUGGAAGGGCCAUCGCUCAACGGAUAAAAGGUACUCCGGGGAUAACAGGCUGAUACCGCCCAAGAGUUCAUAUCGACGGCGGUGUUUGGCACCUCGAUGUCGGCUCAUCACAUCCUGAAGUAGGUCCCAAGGGUAUGGCUGUUCGCCAUUUAAAGUGGUACGCGAGCUGGGUUUAGAACGUCGUGAGACAGUUCGGUCCCUAUCUGCCGUGGGCGCUGGAGAAUUGAGGGGCUGCUCCUAGUACGAGAGGACCGGAGUGGACGCAUCACUGGUGUUCGGGUUGUCAUGCCAAUGGCACUGCCCGGUAGCUAAAUGCGGAAGAGAUAAGUGCUGAAAGCAUCUAAGCACGAAACUUGCCCCGAGAUGAGUUCUCCUGAGACUUUAAGUCUCCUGAAGGAACGUUGAAGACGACGACGUUGAUAGGCCGGGUGUGUAAGCGCAGCGAUGCGUUGAGCUAACCGGUACUAAUGAACCGUGAGGCUUAACCUUACAACGCCGAAG